rnacentral:rRNA from 1 species
GACGAACGCUGGCGACGUGCUUAACACAUGCAAGUCGAACGGAAAGGCCCUGCUUUUGUGGGGUGCUCGAGUGGCGAACGGGUGAGUAACACGUGAGUAACCUGCCCUUGACUUUGGGAUAACUUCAGGAAACUGGGGCUAAUACCGGAUAGGAGCUCCUGCUGCAUGGUGGGGGUUGGAAAGUUUCGGCGGUUGGGGAUGGACUCGCGGCUUAUCAGCUUGUUGGUGGGGUAGUGGCUUACCAAGGCUUUGAUGGGUAGCCGGCCUGAGAGGGUGACCGGCCACAUUGGGACUGAGAUACGGCCCAGACUCCUACGGGAGGCAGCAGUGGGGAAUAUUGCACAAUGGGCGGAAGCCUGAUGCAGCAACGCCGCGUGCGGGAUGACGGCCUUCGGGUUGUAAACCGCUUUCGCCUGUGACGAAGCGUGAGUGACGGUAAUGGGUAAAGAAGCACCGGCUAACUACGUG